GACGAACGCUGGCGGCGUGCUUAACACAUGCAAGUCGAACGGAAAGGCCCUGCUUUUGUGGGGUGCUCGAGUGGCGAACGGGUGAGUAACACGUGAGUAACCUGCCCUUGACUUUGGGAUAACUUCAGGAAACUGGGGCUAAUACCGGAUAGGAGCUCCUGCUGCAUGGUGGGGGUUGGAAAGUUUUGGCGGUUGGGGAUGGACUCGCGGCUUAUCCGCUUGUUGGUGGGGUAGUGGCUUACCAAGGCUUUGACGGGUAGCCGGCCUGAGAGGGUGACCGGCCACAUUGGGACUGAGAGACGGCCCAGACUCCUACGGGAGGCAGCAGUGGGGAAUAUUGCACAAUGAGCGGAAGCCUGAUGCAGCAACGCCGCGUGCGGGAUGACGGCCUUCGGGUUGUAAACCGCUUUCGCCUGUGACGAAGCGUGAGUGACGGUAAUGGGUAAAGAAGCACCGGCUAACUACGUG
rnacentral:rRNA from 1 species